AGCUCCUGGCCUCAGGAUUCCGCAGAGUUAACGCCCCCGCCCUUGCCUCCUGAGCUCCUCUGGAACCAGCGCCCCGAGGUGGCCAGCUCCUUAAGGAAGACUAGAAGGGUUUCUCUGUGUCCUUCUGGAUGUUCUAGAACUUGCUCUGUGCACCAGGCUGGCCUCAAACUCAAGAGAUCUCCUGGGAGUUUGGCCCUACUCCGGUGAGUAUAUGGGUAACACAAACUGGAGAUUUCUUUCUUUUUCUUUUUGGGUGGGGGGAUGGGUGGAGUUCAUAAGGGUAGGAGACAGACAUGAGGUGACUGGGACAUGAGUGUAAUUGGGAUGCACAAUGGGAAAUUUCCAACUAAUCAAUAAAAAUGUUACGUUAGAAAAAAAUCUUUUUAUUCAGCGUUAUUGAAUUCCCAUACGUUGAAAGAAUCAAUCAUCCUUAAACACUGCCCUUCUCAUUGAAUUAUGUCGUUUAUUGAUAUUAACAGUAAAAUUUCAGGUAGACUAUCCCUUGUUCCAUCCAGUGCUUUAUCUCAUCAUCAAGGAAGUCUGCAACGUUAAAAUCUCACCCAGGAAUUAUAAGAAAACCUUUGCACCCUCUUACACUGUGAAGAUUUUCUUACACUGUGUUUCUUUUGUUUCCGCACAAUCUACUCAAAGUUGAACAGUUUACCAACUGGCCAUUAUUCUUAGGGAUUUAUUUCUAUAAUCUGAGUUUAGAGUUAUAAAUACUAUGUGUGUGCAUAUUCGUGUAUCGUGCAUUUGUUUUCACACACAUAGUAUGUUAUCACUAUAAGCACUUGCAACACAGGCAUGAGAAAGGAGCAAAGCAGUGACAUUUCCUGUAAACACCAAGGAGAUCACAUUGUCAUUACUUCAUGCAAGAGCUUAGUAGGACAUCAGAAGCAGCAUAAGAACAGAAAGCAGGGGUACAUGGGGACACAUAAAGAGAAAUGAAAUUCUUUUUUUUUCAUAAAUGGGUGUUUGUUGUGGUUGAGAGCUCCCUCAGGUAACAUCUUCACAGAAUUUGAACAUGAUGUAUUUAAAUAAAAAUUUAAAGUAGCCUUUUAGGUGCCUAUGCCAAAAUCCAUACCUAAAUGCUUUUGUUGACUGGAUACGAAAAUACGACGCUACUUGGAACAAGUUAUUCUAGUGUGUAACAUCACUAUCUUAUUUUCAGCACAUCGAACGCUUGUUUAAUGAAAUACUUUGUUAAGUUCAUUGCACAGAAAUGCAAUGACCUCAGUUGUCUGUACACUCAGCCACUGCUUUUUACCCUCAGCUCUGUGUCCCAUAAUUUUUUGUGACUUUUUAUGGUAAUAAAGAAUGGAAAUAUGG